AGAGUUUGGCAGCCGCUGACUUGUGUUCCCUUUAAACGCUCCCUUUCUAGAGGAUCUCCCUCCUGCCCCCGAAAGCUGCUCGUUCCAUAUUCUAGCCGCGUAAGCCUCCGAACCGCGAGAGCAAUCCUCCUCGCAGGUUAGGCGCGUCACCUGUACCGGGAAAGCGAAGGGUAACUGUCUGUGUGAAGUCUUUGAUGCCACUUCUGCAGUGGAAUCUCUGAUCCUUCAGAGAGGGUAAGGUUUACCCUGAGCCUCUAGCUACACAGCUUUCCUCCCACAUGCUCUCCGUGCACAAUCAAAUUUGCAGUGUGGCUGUAAUUCAUCCCUGUGGCAAAAGGUAAGAACAAAGUCUAUGAAUCACCUAAGUCCAACUGAAGCUUUUAAACAGACUUCAUAUUAUCACUGUGCAUACAAAUGAGUUUUG